rnacentral:rRNA from 1 species
UACGAACUGUGCGAACGUUAUUCGGAAUCACUGGGCGUAAAGGGCGCGUAGGCGGCCACCGCAAGUCAGUUGUGAAAUCUCUGGGCUUAACCCAGAAAGGUCAACUGAUACUGCGGGGCUAGAGUGCAGAAGGGGCAACUGGAAUUCUCGGUGUAGCGGUGAAAUGCGUAGAUAUCGAGAGGAACACCUGCGGCGAAGGCGGGUUGCUGGGCUGACACUGACGCUGAGGCGCGAAAGCUAGGGGAGCGAACGGG